UAAGACGAGAGUUUAUGAAGAGAAGUGUGAGCCGUUGUAAGCAAUAUGGAGAGCCUGGUUGUAGUGAAGACUAAGUUAGGCUAGCGCCCGCAUGCUUCAGUGUCACAUACAAGUAUUCCCAAAAGUCUUGGCCCGUGACAAUGAGCAUUUGGCGAUUACAAGUGAACAUAGCAUGACUAUAAUGGGCACAACUCACCAUGGUAAUGAAGGUUAAACUAAGUUGAACCAUUAUUUUGGGGCUCGUAAGUUCGACACAGCAUGAGCACGAAAAGGCAGAGUUAAAAAAGCAUAUGCACAACAUGAGCACGCACGAGUGAUUCACGCAUCAUAUUGAUAUUGUAUCGAUGUAUUUCUUUCCCAUUCUAGCACAUUUGCAUUGAUUAUUUGUUCCAGUUAACAAUUAUUUGGUGCAAGUAAAUUUAACUAUUUUCAAAUCUUUUGGAGCAUAAAGGAGGUCGGAAAAGACAAUGAAACCAAGCCAUGAGGAAUUUGGACUAAACUGCAACAAGAUGGAGAUCUACCCAGGCCAACCGAUUGAACCUAAUAGGUUGGAUCUUCUUCAACCGAUCCAAUCGGUUGAAGAAGGUCCAACCUAUUGGGAUACUUGUUCUACCGAAGCAGAUUGAUAGGAAUUCUAGUGCCAACCAGUUGGGGAGAGAAUCCCAACCUGUAGAAGUAGUCAACUGGUUUGGGAAAGAUUAUACCGAAGCAAACACGCAAGAAGCAUCAGUGAUGCAUGGCAACCCUUAAAAACCUGAAAAAACCCUAUGGGCCAACAGGUCGAACCUGAAAAAACCCAGCCAUAAAAAAACUAGUUCAACCAGUUGAGCCUCUGUCCUACCGGUUGAAGAAGGCUGCAAAACACAAAAGUCAACUUUUGAGGGAUGUUUUUCAAUGGUGGUUUGGCCAUUUCAUUUACACCAAUUCCAAAGCCUAUAUAUAUAUAUAUAUUAUAUAUAUAUAUAUAUGUGGAGGGAAUCUCAGCAUUAGGACUUCAAACACAAGAGUUGGGGACUUUUGGAUAAUUCUUAGCCUUGAAAAAUUCCCUCAGUUUUCAUUACUUUCACUUUCCAUUUUCCAAAUUAUAAGUUAAGUUUGAGAGGAAGAAGAAGAACAAU
rnacentral:lncRNA from 1 species